AGGGGAAUUUUUAAAAACUUUCUGUCGAAACCGAGGUACAGUCUUAGUGGGAAAAAAUUAUGGGCAUUUCUUCUGUUUACGCAUUUCACAAACAUCUGGAUGGGUUUGUGUGCAUGUGUUAAAGGAAAUGCGUUGAGCGGAUUCGGCAGGUCUGUCGGUCGGUUGGUCGGUAUGUCACUUUGAAAAUAGUCAAUGUAAACGACGAACGAUUAUGUGUACCUACCAUGUAAAAAAACAGAAAAAGGUCAGACAAAAGGCGUUUGGGUGUGGGUUCAUGGAUAGGUAUGCGCCUUCUAUACCCUCUCUGAAGGUCAUAAACACACCAUGAAUAGAAACUGAUAAAUUUAUAGACCACAUUGUACAGUAGGUGAGCAUUUACACGCACUUUUUCCCCUCUCCCAAUGGCGACACUGUGUGGCACAAUGUGAUGGCGUGUGUUUGUAGUACACCUUGAGAAGGACAUACCUACUAUUAAUUCCUUUCAAUGAAAUAUAACUGUACUGAAUAUACAUAGACUGUCAGAUGGAACUUUAACUCCAAAUAAAAAGGGGUAACCCAGAAUUGCACAUCAAUCAAGUGUGUGGUGCGAGGAUAAUAUAGGUAAGCACGUUUAAUAAAGGGAGCAUUAUUGAAGCACGGAUAAAAAAGGUUAACAACGGUUAAUAGAGGUACAAAACCAAAAGCACAGCAUGGCGGUUAAUAGAGGCAUAGAUAAUCGAGGCUCAACUGUACAUAGCUCCAGGUCCAAGUAGCAGUGACCCAGCUGAAGAACAACAAGGC
rnacentral:sRNA from 1 species